UGACUCCCCUAAAGAAGCUUCGAAAAAAUAAUGCAAGUCUUGCUUGCUUCGUGCCCUAAUCUCUUUUCUCUGUACUUCCGAAUGGAAUAAUAUUGAUUGAUUUUUUUUCUGUAAAUUCAGUUAAACUCAACGGAAUUCAGUUACGCAAUUGGUUAAUUCAGGCGGAAAUGCCGGGUGGUCGGCAUUUUUCUCGAGUGGAUACUUUAGAGCUGAAAUCUCAGAUUGAAAGAAAGAUUGGGCGUGUAAAAGCAGAGAAAUACUUCAAUCUGCUCACUAGAUUUUUGAGUCUGAAGAUUAGCAAACCUGAGUUUGAUAGACUCUGCAUUGGUGCAAUAGGGAGAGAAAAUGUUCGUCUUCAUAAUCAUUUUCUCAGAUCAAUUAUUAGAAAUGCUUCACUUUCAAAGACUCCUCCAUUAAGAGAGAACAAGUUGGAAGGAUCUUUAAGCGUUAAAGUGGCAAAUGGGUACCAAAGAAGUAAUCUUCAGUCACUUUGCAAAGACUUUCCUCAAUCCCCUCGCAAGGGCAGGACUCCAAAUCUUCGUGAUCGCAAGUUCAAGGACCGCCCAAGUCCUUUAGGGCCUCAUGGGAAGAACCAUAGUACUACUUGUGAAGAUGCAGUUCCUAAAAUUCAAGAACAGCAGAGUGCUACUGAGUUGCUUUCUUUGGGUAGCAGACCACCUGGCUCUGUGGAGGAUGGAGAGGAGGUUGAUCAAGCCGCAGGAAGUCCAAGCAUUCACAGUAGGAGUCCUGUUAGAGCUCCACUUGGCAUCUCUUUGAAGGCUAAAGGUAUGCGAAAAGUACCAUGGAAUGGAUUGGCAUCUGCUUCUGAGACUUGUCAUUCCAGAGGUGAGCUACCUGAUAGCAGUUCUUUGAGGAAGAGGUUGGAACAGAAGCUGGAGAUGGAGGGAUUAAACAUCUCAGUAGAUUGUGCCAAUUUGUUAAACAAUAGCCUUGAUGUUUUCUUGAAGAGAUUGAUAAAACCCUGUUUGGAAUUGGCUGGGUCAAGGUCUGGACAGAAACUUAUUGACCAAGGUCAUAAUUGGUCCAUGGCCUCUUUAAAUGGAAUGCGGCCUGUGAGAGCAUCAAUGUUAGACUUUCGAGUUGCGAUGGAGCUAAAUCCCCUGAUUCUUGGAGUAGACUGGCCAACACAACUUGAAAAAGUCUGCCUGCUUGCUUCAGAAGAGUGAACCGAAACUGAUUGGCCCCAUGAUUAGGGUUGGAGCUGGUUCCAGCCAGAGCAAUUUUGAGUUAUUUCAACUAUAAAGUCGACUCUAACAUUGAUCUUGAUCAUACCAUUUUUAUAGAACAGAUGAAGUAAAUAAGUAUAAAGGCUACAGGAGUUUUGGAUCAAGCUGAUCAGAUUGUAUAUAGGUCAAUAGCUCUGAUUUAUCCUGGAGGUGUGACAUCUUAACUGGUGAAAUCCAACUAUAUUGACGCUUUGUAAGAAUCUACCUGUUACAAAUAGGACCUCUGGUUGAAGGGGUGCCAUGUCCCUCAUUCCUCUCAGAGAAUCCAUUUGCUAACGUCUUCAGUGAUGACAAGGUUUGGGGUGCCUUGCUGUGUUGUCUAGGAACUUUGUUUUGAGCCAAGUGCUAGAUUUUUUUUUUACAGCCAGAGAAAUGCUAGUUCACUGAGCCUAACCUUGCACGACAAGUGUUCCCUGCUUAUUUUUAUUCUGGGGGUGUACACUGCUCUGUAUUUGUUGGUCAGACAACGGGUUUUAAAUAUCAAUCCAACAUAGUAGUUAACUGCACUAUUUUUAUAUAUGGAAUUAGGUUUAGGGGAUGAUACAGAUUAUUUUUUUCUAGUUGGUUUCACUAUAGUUACUUGAUUGCAAAUAUUAUAUUCAUUUUCCCAUCCAUGGAAAGUGCAAGGAGCAGAUGUCCUUUCUUGCUUCUUAGAUCUUUCCCUUGAGAUUCUUUCAUGCUAUUGGACGUGCAUCAACAAUAUUCUAAGAUGUGGCUUGCUCUGUUUGGAUAGUGGGAUAAUGAUCUAUGAAUUAAGCUGAAUUUCUAGUGAGUUUGACUGUCUCACCUUUUCUUUCAAAACUUUAUAUUGAGGAAACAAACUUAUUUCAAUUGUUGGACAACUGGAGAAAGGCAUGCGUUGGAAAUUCUGGAAAUCACGCCAUUGUAAUGAGUAAUCUGAAGAAAACGGCACUACUUUCUAUUAAACAGAAGACAUUGUCACAUCUUUUAGAUCAGAAAGGUUCGUGCUCCCUUAAGAGCAAGAAUCUUGCUGGUUCUCUUGCAUUAUCAUUUUUCUUGUGACAUUCUUUGAUUGAGAUUGAUUAGGAAACAUGUAGCGUUCACUAAAUAUUAGGCAUUCAUUCUUGGAUACUGAAUUUAAUAUUUCUAAGCCCUUUUAAUGAUUCUGUUCUUAUUUUUUUAUGAUAAGCUAAUGAUUUUGUUCAUAUAAAGGCUUGUGUGCAACACAACACAUGAAUUGGGAUGUCGUUGACAAUUAUUUGGACAACAAUUCUGUUGAAAUAAAGAGAGGAUUGACAGAUACAGGAUAUCUUUUCCCUCCCUUACCCUCACCCUGCAGCCUUCUGGAUAGUUUACUGAACCUGCAAGAGUUGGGGAUAAUCCAUUGAUGCAUGGGAUCAGAUAUGGAGAAAUUUCUUACCAAUGAUUGUCUGUUCGUGCUGCAAUAGUGAUGCUGAAAAAACGAAGUGUACGAAGUGAAGCAAAUGUUGAAAUGAUCAAAAUUUAGAUAAGACUGCAAUGUUUUGAUCUAAUAAUCUAGUUAACACUGGGAACAUUAAUCAAUAACUUAAUGAACAGUUGCAGUGAGCUGGAAGGUUUGGCGAUCGAAGAAACUGAUGUGGAGAGCUGACCAUUGAUGGAUUUUCCAGAGUCUUUGUUUUCAUUUUAGGUAAGUACUCGUUUGGAUCUUAAAUGCUCCUUCAAGAAAAGUCUUGAACAUCACUCCCUUUGCUUUGUAACAGAAUAGGCCAUUUUUAAUGUGUUUUAGUGUAAUAUCUCACAUCUUACAUUUAAUAUGAAUGUAAUUGUGAAAAUUUAUAUAACAAUUUAAGUUCAUUAUUAUUAGUAACUU